UAUUUAUUUAUUUAGUUCAAUAACAUUAAUUUUGAUAUAUUUUAUUUUAUAUUUGACAAUAGUGAGAGAAAGUCAAUAUGAUAACGACAUCAAGACAUUUUACAAUAGUACAAAAUGUGAUUAUCCGAAUCUAUAUAGUUAUCGGACUUCAAUUCAUCAUCAUCAAUUACAGUUUUAUCGGGUAGCUUUAGACUUAGAAACGGUUCGACUCGGUGAUAGUUAGUACAUAUCCACUGCCUAACCGCUUUAAUAACGGUUAGGAUAAAAAAUCACCAUAUUUGACAGUUUGGAUUUGAUUUUAAUACCAUCACUAUAUUUGAUCGGAUUGUGAUUUUAAGCACAAAUUAUUAUUAACCAAACAAUCCAACCAAAUAUUGUUGCCAUUUGUUAUUGUUGCAAGUAGGUUUUUUUAACCCGUUAGUAACCAAUGGUGAAAAACGGAUGGCUUUGGGGUUUUUCUGAAGUCUUAGCUGUAAGCAUUUUAAGUGUUUUUCAUAUGAUACCCUUAAUUCUUGAUGGAGGACUUCCAGUAGCAAUAUAAUGAUAGAGUAGAUGCUUCCCGUGUGAAGCUUUGGAUACUGUGGCCUAUGGGAAUCAACAACCAUUAUACAGUGUUACGGCUUACAGAGCAUCAUGUAAUUAUUGUCAUGAUGCUCUCUACCUCACAAGCUCCCAGCUUCAUUUACAGUCUUGCUUCAUUGUUAGUUUUUGUUGGCUGUUGCCCACAAGAUUUGUCAGCUAACCUAUUAUGCUACUCUCUCUUAACUAAAUCAUAUCUAUAGUCUUUAUCAAGAUGAAUUGUUCUUUCGGCGAAUCUAAAGGAAUUAAGAAGCUAUUCAUUGUUAUGUUUGUUAAACUAAAAUGUUUCUUGAAUUCUGCUGAAUGUUCACAUAAUGAAUUAUAAUUGAGUCAAAUUGUGGUUUUCGUUAACUAUGUGUUGGGAGAUCAUCAAUCAAUUUUAUAUUUAGUCGUUGUUGUUACAUACCUUUUUGCUUUGUUGUGCCUCCAUGCCGUCUCUCCUUAAUUUUGUCUUAUGUCAGCACUUUUUUUAUGGGUGAGCAUCAUCGUACCAGAUUCGAUUAAAAUUUCUGCGACAUCGUGCAACCCAACAAUCUAGUACACAACUAAAAGUUAAGGGUUCUUAUACAAUAUAAUAUAAUUACACAGACUCAUCACUCUCUCAAUAAAUAAAUCCCACUAUAUAUGCUUGCUAACUCCUUUAGAUUAAAUCUGCAACCAGCUCAAAAUUACAAGAAUAAAGUAACUACGCCUAUCACUAAUUUUUAUUUGUCUAAUCUCCAAGCACUAAUAUAUAAAUAUUUAGUAUAAACAAAGAAUGUGUUUGGAAAUUCGGUCUGAACUAAAAAAAUUUGCGUGGAAGUCAUUUGAUUUAUCCAUAAAGAAAUGCAUGCUGCUGGAGAACUGCAUUGUUUCAUGUCCAUGUGAGGGAGCAUUGGAACAUUUAAUUUCAGGAGUAAUGCGGUUGGGAGGGGUUGGCCACUUGGUCCAGCUAACUAGCUAGCUCUCACAUGGUUUUGUUACUUUCCAACCAUGGCAGUUAUGUAUGUACACAUGUGAUUAAUUAAUUAAUUUCCCUUCAUUUACGUACAUUACUUAUUCAUAAUUUAGGGGGAUGGAUAUUAAUUAAUUGUAUAUUUUGGCUGGUUGGACAGUGAUUAACGGAAGUCCGGUGGGAGCUCCAUCGGCCAGAGAAGGAGGAGGAGGAGGCAUGAGUACUAGUGUGGCAGGUCCCGGGAGAGCAAUGUCACCGUUACCGGGUAGCGGUGGGGGAUUAAGCAACGGACCGUCAAGCCAUAACUCAGCUAAUUAUCCCAUUCAACUUUCAACCCAAAUAAUUUUGAGCACUACCAUUUCCUUCCUACUACUACGCUCCAGUAGUUCCACAUCCUAAUUAAGCUCCCCUCCUUCCUAUCUGACCAGAGACCAGAGCAAACCAGACCAGACCAGAGCACUGUUAUAUUAUUAUAUAUUGAUUUAUGAAUUCCCUUUCACUUUCCAUCGCUUCCCCCAUCUCUAUUGUUAUUUGUUUCCUUGACAACAAAAUAAUUUCACGGUUUGUAUUUCUUUGUCGCAAUUGUUGUUGCUCUUGUGGUCAUCCAAUUUUACUAUUUGAUUUAUGCAUCAUCAAACGAUUCCAUUGAUCCGUGAGGUGUAGUCAAUUUAAAUUUAAUUGAUAUAAUUACAAGGACAUGCAUAUGGAUUAGG
rnacentral:lncRNA from 1 species